GCAACUAUGGUUGAUUUUCAAAGGCAACCAGAAGCUGGGUGCCCUCCUGUGUUCCCUUUCCCUUUGAGAAAAUCUUCCCGGUUUUCCUCACAGAGCUCAAUGUGACACAGAAACUCAGAUGCCAUGGGAGAAACAGUCUCCUGACUUCAUGCACUGACUUACCGUGCUCUCUGUGCUUUGGCUGCCAGUCUCACCUUCCUCAGCAGUGCCACUUUAAAUCUGACUGCUAGCUUCAGCCAGGGAGCUGUUAGUGCCUCUGCAUCCACACACAGAGAAAGGAGGCAAGAGGAGCAGGAGGAGCAAAUGCAGGAGGAGCUUCAGUCCAAGGGCUCUGCAGGCAUCUUUCCCUGGUGAGAAUGGUUGAUCCUCAUCUGACCUUUCCGAUACACAGAUAAAGAAUGUAAUACAGCAUGGACUCAAAAUAUAGUGGGUGAAUCCGUUCCAGAAAUGGCCUUGUGGGAUGGAGGGAAAAGAGGAAGAUCUUCUCUGCUCUCUGUCCAAAAGAUGCUGAUUUGAUCUACAAAGAGGCACAUCCCCAACACUGCCUUUACUUUAGCCAGGCAUACUUGCAGACAUUGGAUGGAGUAUGAGAUUUUUGCACUGAAAAUAUAGCGGUGCAGGGAUUACAGUGCUUCUGUGCUCAGGUGCCCUGGGCACUGCCUGGCCACAGCAGCCAGCAAGUGCAGCCUCGCUGCCUCCUUCCUGUUGCUGAGUAGACAAUAACUAACAGUCUGGUCCAGACCACAGCCCAGAUUUAGAGAUGAAUAACAUAAACAUGUUAAAAUUGUUUGCUUUAUAUAAGCAGAGGAGCUCAUUUUUUUUCUUUACACUAAGAUAGGUUCACUGAGGAUAAGAAAGAUAGGCUCUGAAAAUACAUUCAGAGAUUUGGGCUCCAGGCAGCAGAUGUUGUUGGCUGUAUAUGACACGCAAAUUAUAACCGUGCAUCUCAACCCAGAUUAUUUAACCACAAUAGAGCCUUUGCAGAUUCCAACAAUCUCUUGGUACUUAAUCACUUGCAUUUUCUAUAUGUUGUAAAUUUUAACUGAAUAGUGUACUUUCAAAGGCAUGGAAAUGCUUUGAAAGUACUUAUCUGUAAUUUGAAAUACCUGUAUGUCUCCUAGACCUGGCCUUCACUUGAUAGGCAAAUGCAUCUGUCAGAUAAAAUUGCCUCACUGUGGCUUUAUCAUACACAAUUUCUACAUGCUGGAGCUGAGAUGGCGUCUGUUCCUUCCCAUUUUCUGUUUGAAAGCGUUGGAGCUUUCAAGUCAAGAAAGAGGUCAAAAAGAAGCACUGGCCUCAAAGAUUUCUCAGAUCAGCCUGGCAAACACAUAUCAGUUUUUGUAACCCUCAAGAAAGUAGACAUCAUUCUCAUUAGUUGUACAUUAGCCCAACUCAAGUGACUAGGAACCCAUUUACAGCCAGGUCAACAGGAAAGCAGAUUUCAACAGGAGGCCAAGACUGAAUGUGUGACCCUGCUCUAAGGGUCGCUAAAUGUGCGUUUGAAACACCCAAGUAAAGUUCAAGUAACAUUUUCUUUUCAGGGUUUCUCCCCUGUUUUUAAACCUAUGUCAUCAAAAGCAGAAUAGCGCUAAGAUGAUCUUCAAGGAAAGGAAUAAUGCUGCAAUAACACAGUCAAGCUUGCUGCUCCAGCAAUGAAUGCUUAUUUCACGCUGCUCUCCCAGUGAGUAAUGUUUUAAAUAAACAAAUACUGCAGGGAAGUUGCUGUUAGUACAGUUGUAGGGUUGUAUCCUUGUGGCAAGCUUUUUAUCAUGAUAGUACAACAGGAGUACAGUUUGUUUGCAAGGCAAGUUUGAACCAAGGUGCAAAAGCACAUAAAGUCUGUUAAUAAAUAAUGGACUGUGUGCAUGUGGGUUUUGCAGUGUGGCUUAAAAAAUCAACCCCUUCAAAGAACAAUAAUAUGCAAGUGCUAUCGAAACAAAACAAAAGAAAAUGGAGAGAUUUAAUUUCUAGUCCCUUGGAAUGACAAACAUUCUGUUCUUCU